rnacentral:rRNA from 1 species
GUGGGGAAUAUUGGACAAUGGGCGAAAGCCUGAUCCAGCCAUGCCGCGUGUGUGAAGAAGGUCUUCGGAUUGUAAAGCACUUUAAGUUGGGAGGAAGGGCAGUAAGUUAAUACCUUGCUGUUUUGACGUUACCGACAGAAUAAGCCCCGGCUAACUUCGUGCCAGCAGCCGCGGUAAUACGAAGGGGGCGAGCGUUAUUCGGAAUCACUGGGCGUAAAGCGUGCGUAGGCGGUUUUGUAAGUUAGGAGUGAAAGCCCAGGGCUCAACCUUGGAAUUGCUCUUAAAACUGCAAGGCUCGAAUCUCGGAGAGGAUAGCGGAAUUUCCAGUGUAGCAGUGAAAUGCGUAGAUAUUGGAAGGAACACCAGUGGCGUAAGCGGCUAUCUGGACGAGUAUUGACGCUGAGGCACGAAAGCGUGGGGAUCAAACAGGAUUAGAAACCCCUGUAGUCC